UAACCUACCUUAAAAUAAUAUUCUACAACACUGCUGUGUAUGCCAGGCUAGCUUCCCGAAAACUCUUGGUGAUUUUCCUGUCUCAGCUUUCCCUCUCCUGAAGGAGAUUGCUGAGCUUGCAGACUGGGACUAUGAACUGAGGUCAUCAGGCUUGCUAGCACAUGCAUUGGAGCAAAUUGGGAAGUCUAAGCUCUACAAAGAAGAAAAUCAUUGCCCAAAGUCCUUCCUGCAUCUUGAGCUACUCAUUACUUAUGCUUUCCAAAUGUCCCUCAGCACCCCACAUUCAUCACCAUGACAACUUUUUGGAGAGAAGAAUUUUGAAGUAAAGAUGUGUUAAGGUUAUAAGGCUUGUGUUGUCUGAAAGCCUUUUUGAAUUUGUUUGCAAGAUUUGUCCUCUGUGCUUACUCCUUAUGCAUAUUGACAGUAAAAAUUUUAAGUCAAAGGAAAUAAAUACAAUUAAUGUCAAUUA